UGAUGAUGACAAUGACUGCCUAAUGAUAACAGAACUGAUGGUAGUGCACUGGUUUAUUAUCAUUGAAACAGCAUCGCUUUCCCUCACCUUCCCAUUGAGGUAGAGUAGAUCGAAGGCGUAGACACAAACUUGCACUUUGAUCUCGGAAACAUCCGCAUCCUGAAAUCGGAAAUUCCACACUACAUUUCUAUCGCCAACUGCAAAUUAUUCCAAUACAAAAGAAAUUUCUCAGAUACUUGCUUGAAUUAGCCGAUGGAUCGAUGGAAAUGAUUCUUUGAGUCAGUAUUGUACGGGCGGGAGCACGUAAAAUGGCGGCGAGGCUGACCGUUUAAGAAUCUGGAAUGGCAGAAUUUGUUGCUUCUCUCGGUCCCAAGCUACUGCUUCAGUGUCGAUGAUGAAGGACUUGAUUUCCUCUGACAUGACCUACAAUAUAAACAAAUGAGCAACAGUCCAGACAUACUAGUCACGAAAACGAGAGAGAAAAAACACGCACAUAAAAGCAUUGCUUGGGCAAACUACAUAUACCUCAGCUACUCAUCAAGUCGCACUCUACCUUG